GUUGUAUGGUUAAGUGACUAAGCGUACACGGUGGAUGCCUAGGCAGUCAGAGGCGAUGAAGGACGUACUAACUUGCGAUAAGCGCAGAUAAGGCAGUAAGAGCCGUUUGAGUCUGCGAUUUCCGAAUGGGGAAACCCAACUGCACAAGCAGUUACUGUUAACUGAAUACAUAGGUUAACAGAGCAAACCGGGGGAACUGAAACAUCUAAGUACCCCGAGGAGAAGAAAUCAACCGAGAUUCCGGUAGUAGCGGCGAGCGAACCUGGAUUAGCCCUUAAGCACUCGUUGAAGUAGGUGAACAAGCUGGAAAGCUUGGCGAUACAGGGUGAUAGCCCCGUAACCGACGCUUCAUCGAGCGUGAAAUCGAGUAGGGCGGGACACGUGAUAUCCUGUCUGAAUAUGGGGGGACCAUCCUCCAAGGCUAAAUACUCCUGACUGACCGAUAGUGAACCAGUACCGUGAGGGAAAGGCGAAAAGAACCCCUGUGAGGGGAGUGAAAUAGAACCUGAAACCGUGUACGUACAAGCAGUAGGAGCACCUUCGUGGUGUGACUGCGUACCUUUUGUAUAAUGGGUCAGCGACUUAUAUUCAGUGGCAAGGUUAACCGUAUAGGGGAGCCGUAGCGAAAGCGAGUCUUAACUGGGCGCUCAGUCUCUGGAUAUAGACCCGAAACCGGGUGAUCUAGCCAUGGGCAGGUUGAAGGUUGAGUAACAUCAACUGGAGGACCGAACCGACUAAUGUUGAAAAAUUAGCGGAUGACUUGUGGCUAGGGGUGAAAGGCCAAUCAAACUCGGAGAUAGCUGGUUCUCCCCGAAAGCUAUUUAGGUAGCGCCUCGGACGAAUACUACUGGGGGUAGAGCACUGUUAAGGCUAGGGGGUCAUCCCGACUUACCAACCCUUUGCAAACUCCGAAUACCAGUAAGUACUAUCCGGGAGACACACGGCGGGUGCUAACGUCCGUCGUGGAGAGGGAAACAACCCAGACCGCCAGCUAAGGUCCCAAAGUAUUGCUAAGUGGGAAACGAUGUGGGAAGGCUCAGACAGCUAGGAUGUUGGCUUAGAAGCAGCCAUCAUU
rnacentral:rRNA from 1 species